rnacentral:tRNA from 1 species
GCCACCUUAGCUCAGCGGUAGAGCAGCACUUUCGUAAAGUGAAGGUCCCCGGUUCAAAUCCGGGAGGUGGCUCCA